rnacentral:ncRNA from 1 species
GUAAAAAAUUUAUAAGAAUAUGAUGUUGGUUCAGAUUAAGCGCUAAAUAAGGACAUGACACAUGCGAAUCAUACGUUUAUUAUUGAUAAGAUAAUAAAUAUGUGGUGUAAACGUGAGUAAUUUUAUUAGGAAUUAAUGAACUAUAGAAUAAGCUAAAUACUUAAUAUAUUAUUAUAUAAAAAUAAUUUAUAUAAUAAAAAGGAUAUAUAUAUAAUAUAUAUUUAUCUAUAGUCAAGCCAAUAAUGGUUUAGGUAGUAGGUUUAUUAAGAGUUAAACCUAGCCAACGAUCCAUAAUCGAUAAUGAAAGUUAGAACGAUCACGUUGACUCUGAAAUAUAGUCAAUAUCUAUAAGAUACAGCAGUGAGGAAUAUUGGACAAUGAUCGAAAGAUUGAUCCAGUUACUUAUUAGGAUGAUAUAUAAAAAUAUUUUAUUUUAUUUAGUUCCGGGGCCCGGCCACGGGAGCCGGAACCCCGAAAGGAGAAAUAUUAAAUAUUUAUAAUAAUAAUAAUAAUAAUAUAUAUAUAUAAAUUGAUUAAAAAUAAAAUCCAUAAAUAAUUAAAAUAAUGAUAUUAAUUACCAUAUAUAUUUUUAUAUGGAUAUAUAUAUUAAUAAUAAUAUUAAUUUUAUUAUUAUUAAUAAUAUAUUUUAAUAGUCCUGACUAAUAUUUGUGCCAGCAGUCGCGGUAACACAAAGAGGGCGAGCGUUAAUCAUAAUGGUUUAAAGGAUCCGUAGAAUGAAUUAUAUAUUAUAAUUUAGAGUUAAUAAAUAUAAUUAAAGAAUUAUAAUAGUAAAGAUGAAAUAAUAAUAAUAAUUAUAAGACUAAUAUAUGUGAAAAUAUUAAUUAAAUAUUAACUGACAUUGAGGGAUUAAAACUAGAGUAGCGAAACGGAUUCGAUACCCGUGUAGUUCUAGUAGUAAACUAUGAAUACAAUUAUUUAUAAUAUAUAUUAUAUAUAAAUAAUAAAUGAAAAUGAAAGUAUUCCACCUGAAGAGUACGUUAGCAAUAAUGAAACUCAAAACAAUAGACGGUUACAGACUUAAGCAGUGGAGCAUGUUAUUUAAUUCGAUAAUCCACGACUAACCUUACCAUAUUUUGAAUAUUAUAAUAAUUAUUAUAAUUAUUAUAUUACAGGCGUUACAUUGUUGUCUUUAGUUCGUGCUGCAAAGUUUUAGAUUAAGUUCAUAAACGAACAAAACUCCAUAUAUAUAAUUUUAAUUAUAUAUAAUUUUAUAUUAUUUAUUAAUAUAAAGAAAGGAAUUAAGACAAAUCAUAAUGAUCCUUAUAAUAUGGGUAAUAGACGUGCUAUAAUAAAAUGAUAAUAAAAUUAUAUAAAAUAUAUUUAAUUAUAUUUAAUUAAUAAUAUAAAACAUUUUAAUUUUUAAUAUAUUUUUUUAUUAUAUAUUAAUAUGAAUUAUAAUCUGAAAUUCGAUUAUAUGAAAAAAGAAUUGCUAGUAAUACGUAAAUUAGUAUGUUACGGUGAAUAUUCUAACUGUUUCGCACUAAUCACUCAUCACGCGUUGAAACAUAUUAUUAUCUUAUUAUUUAUAUAAUAUUUUUUAAUAAAUAUUAAUAAUUAUUAAUUUAUAUUUAUUUAUAUCAGAAAUAAUAUGAAUUAAUGCGAAGUUGAAAUACAGUUACCGUAGGGGAACCUGCGGUGGGCUUAUAAAUAUCUUAAAUAUUCUUACA